UCGAGAAUCUUCCGCAAUGGACGAAAGUCUGACGGAGCGACGCCGCGUGACUGAUGAAGCUCUUCGGAGCGUAAAAGUCUUUUAUCGGGGAAGAAGUUUAUUGACGGUACCCGAUGAAUAAGGGGCUCCUAAUCACGUGCCAGCAGGAGCGGUAAUACGUGAGCCCCAAGCGUUACCCGGAAUCACUGGGCGUAAAGGGUGUGUAGGCGGUUGUAUUAGUCUUUCGUGAAAGACCACGGCUUAACCGUGGAGGCGCGAGAGAAACGGUACAACUAGAGGAUGCGAGGGGUUAAGGGAACUCAUGGUGUAGGGGUGAAAUCCGUUGAUAUCAUGGGGAACACCAAAAGCGA
rnacentral:rRNA from 1 species